AUUGAACGCUGGCGGCAGGCCUAACACAUGCAAGUCGAACGAGUGUCGGACGGGUGAGGAAUGUCUCCGAAUCUGUCUGAUGGCUGGGGACAGCUAAUGGAAACUGUAGCUAAUACCGCCUACCAUAAGAUGUGCCCAGAUGGGAGUAGCUUGUUGGUGGGGGAAAGGCUUACCAAGGCCACGAACCCUAAGUGGUCGGAGAGGAUGAACAGCAACACGGGAACGAGUACAAGGUCUAGACUCCUACGGGGAGCAGCAGAGGGGACUAUUGGCAAAUGUGCGAAAGCCUGAUGCAGCCAUGCCGGGUGUAUGAAGAAGGCCUUCGGGUGGUAAAGUACUUUCUGCGGGGAGGCGUUACCCGCCCAGGAAGCACCGGCCAACUCCGUGCCAGCGGCCGGGGUAAUAC
rnacentral:rRNA from 1 species